CCACUUAGAUAUACUUGGCUCACUACCCUUACUCCUCCAAAUCGUAAUUGCAACCCUAAUUCAUCGUCGGCACCACAUCUCCCGUUGGCAUCCAUACUCAGCGCCAACAGCACCAUCAUCAUCUCCCUUCCGAUCGCCGACCUCCAAAACAAUAUAACCCAACAAGCCACUCCUUUACAUCAACGUCGAAAAGAAACCACCAUUCGCACCACCCAUGACCACAAGCUGCCGAUUGCAGUUUCCUCUGCGUC
rnacentral:lncRNA from 1 species